GAUGAACGCUGGCGGCGUGCCUAAUACAUGCAAGUCGAGCGAACAGACGAGGAGCUUGCUCCUCUGACGUUAGCGGCGGACGGGUGAGUAACACGUGGAUAACCUACCUAUAAGACUGGGAUAACUUCGGGAAACCGGAGCUAAUACCGGAUAAUAUAUUGAACCGCAUGGUUCAAUAGUGAAAGACGGUUUUGCUGUCACUUAUAGAUGGAUCCGCGCCGCAUUAGCUAGUUGGUAAGGUAACGGCUUACCAAGGCAACGAUGCGUAGCCGACCUGAGAGGGGAACCGGCCCACCUGGAACUGAGACCCGUUCCAAACCCCUAGGGGGGGCAGAGGGAGGAAAUUUUCCCAAAUGGGCGAAACCCUGACGGAGCAACGCCGCGGGGGUAAUAAAGGUCUUCGGUUCGUAAAACUUUUUUAUUAGGGAAAAAAAAAUGUGUAAAUAACUAUGCCCGUCUUGAGGGUACCUAAUCAGAAAGCCCCGGCUAACUCCGU
rnacentral:rRNA from 1 species